rnacentral:rRNA from 1 species
AUUGAACGCUGGCGGCAUGCCUUACACAUGCAAGUCGAACGGUAGGGGGGCAACCCCUGAGAGUGGCGAACGGGUGAGUAAUGCAUCGGAACGUGCCCAGUUGUGGGGGAUAACGUAGCGAAAGCUACGCUAAUACCGCAUACGACCUGAGGGUGAAAGGGGGGGAUCGCAAGACCUAUCGCAAUUGGAGCGGCCGAUGUCAGAUUAGCUAGUUGGUGGGGUAAAAGCCUACCAAGGCGACGAUCUGUAGCUGGUCUGAGAGGACGACCAGCCACACUGGGACUGAGACACGGCCCAGACUCCUACGGGAGGCAGCAGUGGGGAAUUUUGGACAAUGGACGCAAGUCUGAUCCAGCCAUGCCGCGUGCAGGAAGAAGGCCUUCGGGUUGUAAACUGCUUUUGUCAGGGAAGAAAUCCCUUGGGAUAAUACCUCGGGGGGAUGACGGUACCUGAAGAAUAAGCACCGGCUAACUACGUGCCAGCCGCCGCAGUAAUAC